rnacentral:rRNA from 1 species
CGUGAGGGAAAGGUGAAAAGUACCCCGGAAGGGGAGUGAAAUAGUACCUGAAACCGUGUGCCUACAAGUAGUCAAAGCCCGUUAAUGGGUGAUGGCGUACCUUUUGUAGAAUGGACCGGCGAGUUACGAUUUCAUGCGAGGUUAAGUUGAAAAGACGGAGCCGCAGCGAAAGCGAGUCUGAAUAGGGCGAAUAAGUAUGAGGUCGUAGACCCGAAACCAAGUGACCUACCCAUGUCCAGGUUGAAGGUGCGGUAACACGCACUGGAGGACCGAACCCACGCACGUUGAAAAGUGCGGGGAUGAGGUGUGGGUAGCGGAGAAAUUCCAAUCGAACUUGGAGAUAGCUGGUUCUCUCCGAAAUAGCUUUAGGGCUAGCCUCGGAUAUGCGAAUCAUGGAGGUAGAGCACUGUUUGGACUAGGGGCCCUUCUCGGGUUACCGAAUUCAGAUAAACUCCGAAUGCCAUUGAUUUAGAUCCGGGAGUCAGACUGCGAGUGAUAAGAUCCGUAGUCAAAAGGGAAACAGCCCAGACCACCAGCUAAGGUCCCAAAGUAUCUGUUAAGUGGAAAAGGAUGUGGGGUUGCACAGACAACUAGGAUGUUGGCUCAGAAGCAGCCAUCAUUUAAAGAGUGCGUAAUAGCUCACUAGUCGAGUGACCCUGCGCCGAAAAUUUACCGGGGCUAAACAGAUCACCGAAGCUGUGGAUGGAACCCAAUGGGUUCCGUGGUAGGAGAGCGUUCUAAGGGCAUCGAAGCCAGAUCGUGAGGACUGGUGGAGCGCUUAGAAGUGAGAAUGCCGGUAUGAGUAGCGCAAGACGGGUGAGAAUCCCGUCCACCGAAUAACUAAGGUUUCCUGGGGAAGGCUCGUCCUCCCAGGGUUAGUCGGGACCUAAGCUGAGGCCGAUAGGCGUAGGCGAUGGACAACAGGUUGAUAUUCCUGUACCAGUUGCUUUUGUUUGAGCGAUGGAGGGACGCAGGAGGCUAAGGAAUGCACACGAUCGGAAAUGUGUGUCCAAGCAGCAAGUCUGAGAACGAGUGAAAUGCUUUUUCUCUCAAGGACAAGCUGUGAUGGGGAGCGAAAUUUAGUAGCGAAGUUCCUGAUGUCACACUGCCAAGAAAAGCUUCUAGUGAGAAAGUAACUGCCCGUACCGCAAACCGACACAGGUAGUUGAGGAGAGAAUCCUAAGGUGUGCGAGAGAACUCUCGUUAAGGAACUCGGCAAAAUGACCCCGUAACUUCGGGAGAAGGGGUGCUGACCGCAAGGUCAGCCGCAGUGAAUAGGCCCAAGCGACUGUUUAUCAAAAACACAGGUCUCUGCAAAAUCGAAAGAUGACGUAUAGGGGCUGACGCCUGCCCGGUGCUGGAAGGUUAAGAGGAGAGGUUAGCGCAAGCGAAGCUUUGAAUUGAAGCCCCAGUAAACGGCGGCCGUAACUAUAACGGUCCUAAGGUAGCGAAAUUCCUUGUCGGGUAAGUUCCGACCCGCACGAAAGGCGUAACGAUUUGGGCACUGUCUCAACGAGAGACUCGGUGAAAUUAUAGUACCAGUGAAGAUGCUGGUUACCCGCGACAGGACGGAAAGACCCCAUGGAGCUUUACUGCAGUUUGAUAUUGCGUGUUUGUAUCACAUGUACAGGAUAGGUAGGAGCCGAAGAUACCGGGACGCCAGUCUCGGAGGAGGCAACGGUGGGAUACUACCCUUGUGAUAUGACCACUCUAACCCGCUGCUCUUAGCGAGCAGGGAGACAGUGUCAGACGGGCAGUUUGACUGGGGCGGUCGCCUCCAAAAAUGUAACGGAGGCGCCCAAAGGUUCCCUCAGAAUGGUUGGAAAUCAUUCGUAGAGUGUAAAGGCAGAAGGGAGCUUGACUGCGAGACCUACAAGUCGAGCAGGGACGAAAGUCGGGCUUAGUGAUCCGGCGGUAUUCCGAGUGGAAGGGCCGUCGCUCAACGGAUAAAAGCUACCCUGGGGAUAACAGGCUUAUCUCCCCCAAGAGU